AAACAUGAAAUGUUUGUAAUUCUAGACUCAGCAUAUGAUGCAGAGAGUGAUUUUCACCAGCAUGUGUUGAAUAUUCUGAUACCAAAUUUCAAAAGGGUUUGGGACAUGUAUGAGAGCUCAAGAAAUCUUAACUGGAGAAAUUGGACCACGCACUUUAUUGAUGUACCUAAACAAAGCAAUGAGCUUGAUUGUGGCAUAUAUACGACACUCUUUCUGAA